AAAUGAUUUGCCUCAAAGCUUCAUUUAAAUCAAUGAUACCAACGUUGUAUCGCUCACGGCCUCAUUCUGCUGCCGGCG